ensembl:lncRNA
CGCGCCUCCGGCUGCGGGCUCACGGCGGAGCGCGACCCACGGCCACGCACGCACACGCCGUCGGCCUCAGUUCGAGAGCGGCGAUAGAUGGGUGGCCUCGUGCCGAGGCACCGCGCGGCGCUAGCCCGGCCAGAUGCUUCCUCCCGUCCGACAGCGGUGCCGCCGAGGCAUCGGCUGCGGCGCAAGGCUCUCCCGAGCCAGGUGUGAGCGAGGCAAAGCCCCAUUGAAGACAAUGACAGUAGUUCUGUGCUGCAUGGGGAGUUAAACACCGAGCACUGCAGCAGCGUUCGUUUGGAGCAGUGUGUUUCUUAGAGCCGGGGAGGUCUGAGUGGAGGUAAGAGUGAGAUCUACUCUUCCCUUGGCCCUUCUGCUGCAAACCACUGUGCAAAAAGGCAAAUGCAAACAGGACCCUGCCCUUAGCCCACUGAAAGAGUUCACUGACCUCUCGUCUGCUGCACUGAAGCCUGCAGUAACCCUGGCAUAACUGACUGAAGGAGAGAAACAACGUUGGUAACACACCGAUGUUCACAGCGGCUGCUAAGCAGUGUUGGACAGAGCCAAGGCUGUUCUCAGCAAAGGGCCCAAGGAGCUGGGAGGGAACAGAGUGAGGACAGCUGACUUAAACUGGCUAAAGGGAUAUUCCAUAUGUCAUAAUCAUUAUCUUUUUCAUUACCUCAGUAAAUAGUUUUAUCUCAAUCCGUGAGUUGUACUUUGUGUUUUUUCCCAAUUCUCCUCCUCAUUCCACUGGGAAGAUGGGGACUGGGCAACUGACUGUGCAGUGCUCAGCCACCUGCCAGGUUAAACCACAAGAGGGAGGUGAUGUGGGAUAACCAGCAGAGCUUCCCCAAGGGCAGGUCCUGCCUCACAGGAGGAGUCAGGGAGGUGAUCCUGCCCCUCUGCUCUGCACUGUGAGGCCUCACCUGGAGCACCGCAUCCAGACAUGGAGCCUUCAGUACAGGAGAGACAUGGAGCUUUCAGAGCAUGUCCAGAGGAGGGCCACGAAAAUGAUCCCAGAAUGAAACACCUCUCCUACAGGACAGGCAGAGAGAGCUGGGGCUGUGCAGCAUGGAGAAGGGAGGGCUGCAGGGAGAGCUGAGAGCGGCCUGUCAGUAUCUAAAGGUGAGCUGUAAGGAGAGAACAGUCUCUUUAGCAGGGUCUGUUAGGAUAGGACAAGGGGAAAUAGUUUCAUAAAAGAGGGGAGAUUUAGAUUGGAUAUAAGAAGGAAGUUUUUUACAAUAGGAAUGCUGAGGCACUGGCACAGGUUGCCCAGAGAUGAUGUGGUGGGCCUGUCCUGGAGAUAUUGAAGGUCAGGCUGGAUGUGGCUCUGAGCACCCGAUAGAGCUGGGUGUCCCCGUUCAUCACAGGGGAGUUGGACCAGAUGGCCCUUUAAGGUCCCUUCCUACUCAAAAGAAUCUGUGAUUCUAAUACAAGCAAAUACAAAAGCUGUGCUUGACAUUUCAGAGGAAUCCAGCUGAUCUAGGACUAUAAACUCCACUGAUUUGCAGUGAUUUUUACAUUCCUGAGUCACGUCAGGUACACUUGAAAGGUCUGUUUUGUACAUUUCCUCACAGUAGUUCAUGUUUGUGAAGGCAUUAACUCUGAAUUCAUGGAGCUGAUGUCAGUCUUAAGCUAGUUAAGUUACUUAAACCUGAUUUACAUUCAGCCACUUUCCUAGUCAAAAGGAACACAGACAGAUAAGCCACCUCUCAUGAUUUCUUCAUGGUAAGGCUUUGCUAGGAGUGAGAUAGAAAGAUGAGAGCUCUUCUUACAGACAGCAUCACAAAAUAUACACAAAUUUUGCAAGUGCACUUGAAACAUAUUUUAUCACUGCUUGCUGCUCUCUGCUGCAUGCCUAUAUCUUAAACUAAAGAUCUAACAAAGCAUGCUUCCUUCUGUCCCACAGAUAUGCUUUCCCUGCAGAGGAGCUGGGAGCAGUUGCUUUGGUUGGGCUUUGAGUAAGAAGUGCUGACACAAAGCCAUGCUGCUUACAGUGCUGUAUGCUCACCUGGAACUCCCAAAGUCCUCAGCUGGUGCCCAGCACAGCAGCCUGUCCCUGUCCCGCUCCUUCCAAGUCAUUGUGAAAUGCAAGGAGUAAACAUUCCGAGCUCUUAGCCUGCAUCACACCUCUACCAGCACUGACAGCAAGCAGCAUUCAGGCUUAGCACUUAGACCUGGUGAUGGGACAGGGCUGCCAGGUGUAAAUUACUAACACAUACCUCAAGGUUUAUGUAUUUGCAGCUAGGAAUUCAAAGAAGAGCAAUCUCCGAGUUAAUAGUGAAGUGAGGAUGAACUCAGAGCGAGAGCAGGCAGCUUAUUACAGAAAACCACCCAUGACAAAACAGCAGUAAGAGAUGUGAAAACCACACAUCUCUUCUGCCACCAAAACCUCAGUGCAGUACUUCUCUCAAAGCCCAGUCAAUAAAUACCCACUUUAUUAGGCAGGGGGAGUCUAAAGGCUUCUCAACACAGAAACUCCUCUGGUUUACUGUGAGCUGGCAAAGCUUGGCUAACUAAAGCAGUAAAAAGUCCUCUUUAAACAUUUGCAGACCCUAAGAAAUCCUUCAGUAAAGGCACCUAAAAAGAAGUUCUACUACUGAGCAUAAAAAAAAAAAAAAAAAAAAGUGUAUUUACUUUGUUUCCUAAGGAUAAGCUCCCUGUUCCCUUGAGUAGGUUGAAAUAAACCACUUACUGUGUUCAUUCCAAUGUGGAUUUUUCCCUGUUGCUCUGGCUGAUUAGGACAAGUGGGCACGCCAUGCUCUCAUUCACAUUGGUGGUAUGGAUGGGAGCUUGUAGCAUACACCAAGUAAAGACUGAGGAGUCACGAGCCAUAGGAUUUAGCAGUUGCCUUGUCAUAUCAGUGCUCAGACCUACAGCAAAGUGUAGAGCGGGAGCUUAUAGACUUAUUUUGCACCUCCACUGCUGUUAGCAGCUGCAGUAGCUGUUCCCAACCAUACACACAUGCACAGAGUGGGAGUACAGACUGCUGUACCAUAACUGCAGAUGGUAAACUGCAACGUCUGUCAUGACCUUGAAAUGCUGGGAAAGAUCCUAGCUGAGCUCUCGAAGUACAGGGAUGCCAACAAGUUGGAGGCUGGGACCGCAGCCUAAGCAUCUAUAGUUUCUAGGGUAUUAACCUGCCUGAGGGAGGGGUAGUGGGCCCACAGGGAAGGCACAAGAUGUCAGCUGCUCCUUAUUCAAACUCCUUUUUUUUUCCUACUUGCAUCGCAACAGCUGCCAGACGAUGCUGUCUGGGAUUGAUGAAAAGGACAGGCUUAUUUGUUGGUGGCAUAUUAUUAGCAUUGUUACCCAUUGCUAUAUGGGGAUUAAAUAAAUGCAAGGGGAGCUUGGUUUCAACGAGAUUUUACAUCCCUCAGCCUCUGUCUGACGCAGCAGCUGUCCGCUGUGACAUGCCUGUUAGCAGCAAGCAAGUGCCAGCCUUUCAGCUUUGCUCUGCAAAACCCUCAAAGCUCAAAUGGGACACAACCUCUGGAUUGCUGGGAGGGAUAUGAGUGUCACAUAUCUGGAAACACGAGGACGGUGGUCCCGUCCUGGAAGGAAGUCAGUGCAGCCAGCAAAGUUUCUGCAUAUCGACCCUGUCUGCAUCCAGAACAGGUGUCCAGGCAGUCAGAAAAUGGGGCUGGCAUCAUUUCAGCCUGGGUGGCUCAGCAGCCUUCAGCAGUGACCUGGAGUUUUGCUCUUGGCCAAACUGGCUGGUGUGCAGUUUUUACGUGCACAUAUAAAUGGCACGUGAACACAUGCACUGUUUCUUAAUGUUCUGUACCACCCAUUCCUUGAUCCUUAUACAAAAACUGACCACUUAGUUUGGGAACAGUAAUUCCAAAACAAACAUACUUACAGGAUUCUGACCUGAGAUCUCUGUGUGAUCCUCCAGGGAGACAGCUAAUUGGAACAGUCAUUCAUCCUUCUGUGCUGCUGUGGUGAUGUUACUGGUGAGCAGACUCAGAGGGAUGCUGAAGUUCAGGGGAGCUAAGAGACACACACAGGUGUAACUAACCACUUUCCCCUUUAAGUCCCAAAUUAAGAAGCUAUGAAUGAAGACAGUAAACUGAAAGCUAUACAAUAAGCUGGCUACAUAGCAAUUGUAUGCUCACAGAUACUCAGUUAAAUGGGAAAUGUGUGCGAUUCAGCUCUUUGAAAGCUUUCAGACGAAGUCAACCACCUGAAAAGUACCAGGAUUUUGAAGUAUACUGCUUAAUGGAUUAAAAAAAAAAAAGGGAAAGGAAAGAAAUUGACUGGCAAAGCAGACCUGCAGACAAUCACAGUCCACAGAAUCAGCUUUCAGUUACGCCUCUUCCCCGCAGCGCAGCAGAGGAGCUGUGGACUUGACAAACAGAAGUCAGAAUGUUUUCCAAAUGACAAAAAGCUGCUGGCUUAAAAACCCCUUAUUGUGGGAAAAAAAAAUAGACUGUGCAGAAAUAAUAAUAAUAACAAUCUUCAUUUUGUAAUAUUAGGAGUACCACACAUUGAGGUCAGCAGGAAAGGGAAUGGGAAGAAGCUGCAUGCCAGCUGCUCCAUGCAGAACCUUGUCCUAGAUUCGAUUCCUUGGCACAGACAGCUCCAGUUACCUGCUUCCUCCUCUGUCACUGCAAUUCAUUCUAUUUUGAAGUGUUUGCUGCAGUAAAAUCUCCUGCCUCACUGUCCCAUGUCAAGAGGAAGAAAGCUUUGUACCCACAGCCAUGCACAGGCAGAGCUGCAGGAGAGAGCGCCAUGUCGCUCCGUUGCUCACUGUACUGCUUUUCAACCACUGGAUGAUGCUGGAUGGAAACAGGAGCAAUUCCAAGGCAGUACAAUGGGAUGUAAGCAGGAAGAGACAGCCCUGCCAAUUUCUGUAUGUUUGAAAGAAAAGCAGAGCAUGUGCACUCUGCUGUUGGAAGCCCAACAACUUAUUAGCAGUAAAAUAUACAUUGGAAAAAAAGAAAGUGACUGCCAGUUAAUUUACCACAUAUUAACCUCUUCUCCUAAAGCACUUACUGUACAACUGUUCAAACAAUUGGAGUUUAAAUGUUGCUGAGGCCUCUUCUUUUAAUUAGCCUUUGUAUGUCUCUUCUUCUUCCUCCAGUCUGCCUCCUCACUUCCUUGCACUGCAGUGGGGAUUAAAAUCCUUGUGACAGAGGCUGCCUUGUCCGAGGCUUUGUCACAGACCGUGCAGUGCCUGCACUAACGAUGAGAUGUCAGUGCCAUCUUUCCCAGGAGAAGUGGAUGUGCAAGAACUGCACUCUGUGAUGAAAACCCAACUCUAAUGUUGCUUUCCUUAAUUGAAAGAGUAUUAAUCCGUUGCGAAAUGAAAUGAUGUCUGCUGGUUGGGAAAGGAGUUAUGGAAGUAUUGUUAAAAAUGGAAAAAGCUGAACUUAGGAGGCUGUGGAACGCUUUUCAAGGAAAAUGACUUCUUAGAAUUGAGCUUCCUAGAUUUGAUGGGAGUUGUCAUCAAAAGGCUACAAGGCAGAAGAUCAUGUUCUCUAACGCUGAUGGAAACGGAUACAUGCCCAGCUGUGUUUGCCAUGGGAACUGUGCAAGACAGACCUUAAGCACUUCCCAACAGUAUGUAAGGGACUCUUGGGGAACAAGCCUGACCUUAAGGGAAAGGUAUGCUAAGGAAGAGAAGGAGAAAUAUUUCUCCUUCUAGCGAGAAAAUUAAAGCUUUCCACGUAUCUGUCACUUUGGUAACCUCCUGGAAGACAACUCCUGGGAGUGCUGAGAUAAGAAUCUCUGAACAGAAAUGUGCACUGCUGAUACUACUCUUACAAUGGAAAUGGCCUUAAAAUGAGUUCACAUCGGCUUGAUGUUGUUUGAAAUAAAAGU